rnacentral:rRNA from 1 species
UGCAAGUCGAGGGGAAACGACGGCGGGGUUUCGGCCUUGCCGGGCGUCGACCGGCGAUGGGUGAGUAACGCGUAUCCAACCUGCCCCUGUCCCGGGAAUAGCCCUUGGAAACGAGGAUUAACGCCCGAUUUGCGGAGCAGUCGCAUGGCAGUUCCGUGAAAUGCCUAAGGACGGGGAUGGGGAUGCGUCUGAUUAGCCAGCUGGCGGGGUAACGGCCCACCAGGGCUUCGAUCAGUAGGGGUUCUGAGAGGAAGGUCCCCCACACUGGAACUGAGACACGGUCCAGACUCCUACGGGAGGCAGCAGUGAGGAAUAUUGGUCAAUGGCCGAGAGGCUGAACCAGCCAAGUAGCGUGAGGGACGAAGGCCCUAUGGGUUGUAAACCUCUUUUAUGCGGGGAUAAAGAGCGCCACGCGUGGCGUGUUGCAGGUACCGCAUGAAUAAGGACCGGCUAAUUCCGUGCCAGCAGCCGCGGUAAUACGGAAGGUCCGGGCGUUAUCCGGAUUUAUUGGGUUUAAAGGGAGCGCAGGCGGAGCGCCAAGUCAGCCGUCAAAUGGCUCAGCUCAACUGAGUCCUGCGGUUGAAACUGGCGCCCUUGGGUGCACAAGAGGCAGGCGGAACUCGUGGUGUAGCGGUGAAAUGCAUAGAUAUCACGAAGAACUCCGAUUGCGAAGGCCAGCUUGCUGGGGUGUUACCGACGCCUCAAUGGCUCGAAGGGCGCGGGUAUCAAACAGGAUUAGAUACCCUGGUAGUCCGCGCAGUAAACGAUGGAUGCCCGCGGUGCGGCCGUUUAAGGUUACGCCGCCAAGCGAAAGCGUUAAGCAUCCCACCUGGGGAGUACGCCGGCAACGGUGAAACUCAAAGGAAUUGACGGGGGCCCGCACAAGCGGAGGAACAUGUGGUUUAAUUCGAUGAUACGCGAGGAACCUUACCCGGGCUUGAAAGGGAGCGGACGGGGGGCAGAGACGCCUUCUUUCUUCGGACCGUCUUCCUAGGUGCUGCAUGGUUGUCGUCAGCUCGUGCCGUGAGGUGUCGGCUUAAGUGCCAUAACGAGCGCAACCCUUUCCGCCGGUUGCCAUCGGGUAAUGCCGGGCACUCCGUCGGUACUGCCGCCGCAAGGCGUGAGGAAGGUGGGGAUGACGUCAAAUCAGCACGGCCCUUACGUCCGGGGCCACACACGUGUUACAAUGGGGGGCACAGCGAGCUGGAUGCAGGCGACUGCAUUCGAAUCAAGAAAUCCCCUCCCAGUUCGGACUGGAGUCUGCAACCCGACUCCACGAAGCUGGAUUCGCUAGUAAUCGCGCAUCAGCCAUGGCGCGGUGAAUACGUUCCCGGGCCUUGUACACACCGCCCGUCAAGCCAUGAAAGCCGGGGGCGCCUGAAGUCCGCAGCC